rnacentral:rRNA from 1 species
GCGGCCUAUCAGCUUGUUGGUGAGGUAAUGGCUCACCAAGGCGACGACGGGUAGCCGGCCUGAGAGGGCGACCGGCCACACUGGGACUGAGACACGGCCCAGACUCCUACGGGAGGCAGCAGUGGGGAAUAUUGGGCAAUGGAGGGAACUCUAACCCAGCGACGCCGCGUGCGGGAUGAAGGCCUUCGGGUUGUAAACCGCUUUCAGCAAGGAAGAAGCGAAAGUGACGGUACUUGCAGAAGAAGCACCGGCUAACUAUGUGCCAGCAGCCGCGGUAAUACAUAGGGUGCAAGCGUUGUCCGGAAUUAUUGGGCGUAAAGAGCUCGUAGGUGGUUCGUCACGUCGGAUGUGAAAAUCUGGGGCUUAACCCCAGACCUGCAUUCGAUACGGGCGAGCUAGAGUGUGGUAGGGGAGACUGGAAUUCCU